UACGUAGGGUCCGAGCGUUGUCCGGAAUUAUUGGGCGUAAAGCGCGUGUAGGCGGCUGGCUAAGUUGGAUGUGAAAUCUCCCGGCUCAACUGGGAGAGGACGUUCAAGACUGGUCGGCUAGAGGACGGUAGAGGAAGGUGGAAUUCCCGGUGUAGUGGUGAAAUGCGUAGAGAUCGGGAGGAACACCAGUGGCGAAGGCGGCCUUCUGGACCGUGCCUGACGCUGAGAUGCGAAAGCUAGGGGAGCGAACGGG
rnacentral:rRNA from 1 species